rnacentral:rRNA from 1 species
AACGAACGCUGGCGGCAUGCCUAACACAUGCAAGUCGAACGAGACCUUCGGGUCUAGUGGCGUACGGGUGCGUAACGCGUGGGAACCUGCCCUUAGGUUCGGAAUAACUCCCCGAAAGGGGUGCUAAUUCCGGAUAAUGUCUUCGGACCAAAGAUUUAUCGCCUUUGGAUGGGCCCGCGUUGGAUUAGCUAGUUGGUAGGGUAAAAGCCUACCAAGGCGACGAUCCAUAGCUGGUCUGAGAGGAUGAUCAGCCACACUGGGACUGAGACACGGCCCAGACUCCUACGGGAGGCAGCAGUGGGGAAUAUUGGACAAUGGGCGAAAGCCUGAUCCAGCAAUGCCGCGUGAGUGAUGAAGGCCUUAGGGUUGUAAAGCUCUUUUACCCGGGAUGAUAAUGACAGUACCGGGAGAAUAAGCUCCGGCUAACUCCGUG